GAUAAACGCUGGCGGCGUGCUUAACACAUGCAAGUCGAACGAAGUUUUUCCUUCGGGAGCAACUUAGUGGCGGACGGGUGAGUAACGCGUGGGUAACCUGCCCUGUACAGGGGGACAACAGCUGGAAACGGCUGCUAAUACCGCAUAAGCCCUUAGCACUGCAUGGUGCAUAGGGAAAAGGAGCAAUCCGGUACAGGAUGGACCCGCGUCUGAUUAGCCAGUUGGCAGGGUAACGGCCUACCAAAGCGACGAUCAGAAGCCGAUCUGUGAGGAUGUACGGCCACAUUGGGACUGGGACACGGCCCAGACUCCUACGGGAGGCAGCAGUGGGGAAUAUUGCACAAUGGAGUAAACUCUGAUGCAGCGACGCCGCGUGAGUGAAGAAGUAUUUCGGUAUGUAAAGCUCUAUCAGCAGGGAAGAAAAUGACGGUACCUGACUAAGAAGCACCGGCUAACUACGUG
rnacentral:rRNA from 1 species